rnacentral:rRNA from 1 species
ACGUACACUCCUGCGGGAGGCAGCAGUGGGGAAUAUUGCACAAUGGGCGCAAGCCUGAUGCAGCCAUGCCGCGUGUAUGAAGAAGGCCUUCGGGUUGUAAAGUACUUUCAGCGGGGAGGAAGGCGAUAAGGUUAAUAACCUUGUCGAUUGACGUUACCCGCAGAAGAAGCACCGGCUAACUCCGUGCCAGCAGCCGCGGUAAUACGGAGGGUGCAAGCGUUAAUCGGAAUUACUGGGCGUAAAGCGCACGCAGGCGGUCUGUCAAGUCGGAUGUGAAAUCCCCGGGCUCAACCUGGGAACUGCAUUCGAAACUGGCAGGCUAGAGUCUUGUAGAGGGGGGUAGAAUUCCAGGUGUAGCGGUGAAAUGCGUAGAGAUCUGGAGGAAUACCGGUGGCGAAGGCGGCCCCCUGGACAAAGACUGACGCUCAGGUGCGAAAGCGUGGGGAGCAAACAGGAUUAGAAACCCUUGUAGUCCCAUGAU